CACGGGGUUGCGAGCGUUGCCGGAAUUACUAGGCGUAAAGGGCAGGCAGGCGGAUCCAUAAGUUUAUCGUUUAAGGCGUCGGCUUAACCGGCGUAGGGCGGUAGAUACUGUGGAUCUGGAAUGCGGUUGGGGAAGACAGAAUUCCUGGUGUAGCGGUGGAAUGCGCAGAGAUCAGGAGGAAUACCGAAGGCGAAGGCAGUCUUCCAAGCCGUUAUUGACGCUCAACUGCGAAGGUGUGGGUAUCAGACAGGAUUAGAUACCCUGGUAGUCCCU
rnacentral:rRNA from 1 species